rnacentral:rRNA from 1 species
UCAAUAAGCGGAGGAAAAGAAACCAACAGGGAUUGCCUUAGUAACGGCGAGUGAAGCGGCAAAAGCUCAAAUUUGAAAUCUGGCACCUUCGGUGUCCGAGUUGUAAUUUGAAGAAGGUAACUUUGAGAGUUGGCUCUUGUCUAUGUUCCUUGGAACAGGACGUCACAGAGGGUGAGAAUCCCGUGCGAUGAGAUGCCCAAUUCUAUGUAAAGUGCUUUCGAAGAGUCGAGUUGUUUGGGAAUGCAGCUCUAAGUGGGUGGUAAAUUCCAUCUAAAGCUAAAUAUUGGCGAGAGACCGAUAGCGAACAAGUACAGUGAUGGAAAGAUGAAAAGAACUUUGAAAAGAGAGUGAAAAAGUACGUGAAAUUGUUGAAAGGGAAGGGCUUGAGAUCAGACUUGGUAUUUUGCGAUCCUUUCCUUCUUGGUUGGGUUCCUCGCAGCUUACUGGGCCAGCAUCGGUUUGGAUGGUAGGAUAAUGACUAAGGAAUGUGGCUCUACUUCGGUGGAGUGUUAUAGCCUUGGUUGAUACUGCCUGUCUAGACCGAGGACUGCGUCUUACUAGG